ensembl:lncRNA
GUGGCUGGGCUGAGGAGAGAGAUGUGAGAAAGACAGGAAGAAGGUGUCUGAGAGGCCGGAGGAGAGUGAGAUCUACAUCCACUUUGACCCUGUUACAGUCUCUGCAGACAUCCCAGACAAUACGCCAGUCAGUUUUAAGAGGUACGUUAACCAUACAAUGAAUCUCAGCGGCGAUACUGGGAUUCAGAUCAGGUGUACUGGUCCUUACAUGCUGUACAUGGAGGUGUGCAGUGAGGGUCUGGAUGGACAGUUAGGCAACGGGACCCUGGAGCUGAGGGAGGGGAGUCGGGAGCUGGCCAGCUUCAGCCUGCAGGCCAGAGAAGAGGACUGUAGGGAUUCUCUCCUCCACCAGACAGUGUACCUCAGGAAGGGGGAGAUCGCCACUCUACACUUCACCUCGAAAGGCAAGAACAACUUGAUGGUGAAGAAGCUGACUCUGGGACUGCACUACCUGCUGGGGACACAAUGUCAGCACUGAGGGGCUGGGGACAACACACAUGCGCGCACGCACACACACACACACACACA